CCUCCCAAGUCCCACCUACACAGCAUCAACAAAUGUAUGGUGUAUUGUUGUUUUAUGAAAUGAAGAUGAGUGGUCCUCCUGCACAUGAUUCACUUUCCAUGAGAUGGGCAUCUGCAUUUAGAUUAUCUAUACAAGCAUGUGAAGAAAGCUAGUUAGAGGGAGAAGCUCUGAUCUCCUCUUGUGAAAUCAUCCUCGCCUCCUCAUGAGACUUCCCCCUUUAUUUAUCAGGUUGGAGUUAUUUCUCCUUUUUCUUCGUUCUUUAUGUCCUUCCGUCUUCUGUUUGUUUUUUGCUUGCAGGUUUUAUAGCGCACCUCUGUCUCCACCGCCGAACGUUCGGAUUCUCACCGUCCCCUCCGGUCUUCUCCGCCUUCCUCUGUCCUCCCUGAGAAUACUGAGUUGAUGAAUAACGUGUAACAUUUUCUUGAAGCAGACAUAAAUCUAACAUGUAUUGACAUUUAUAGUUACACAAUUACAAUUGACUGAAACAUAAUGGCAGCUUUGAGUUGGCUUUCCAGAAGUUCCCAAAAUAGUAUAAUUCUGUACACGUACGUCUACCAGGAUCAUAUAGCAGCAACUAGCAAGUCUUUUUUAUUUUUUUCUCCUUAUUUCCCUUUCUAGUCAACCAUAAAGCAAUUCACAUUUCAAAGUUCACACUCUUGGAUCUAUUUCUUACUCCAUGCGAGAACUCAAUUACCAAGAAAUGCAGUUUAGAGAUCAAAGAAGCUGAACUUCUAACUAUAUAAGCUAACUGCUCAAAUAACAUUUCAAAUUGCAGGUUGCUUGGAAUGCCAAGUUCACAAUUACCACUUACAUUUCUAUGUAAGGUACCAUAUGGACAUAAAGAAAGGAGGCUUAGGAUUCCUCGAUUUAUCUUACCAAAAUCUAUCUUUCUUGUUACUUUUCCGUCUCACGUUAGGUAGGCACGUAACAAUUGCUGCAGAUUGCUGAAAGUAUGGACCAGUCUUGGUUUGGAUGUGGAUGGUUCGAGCUUGUUGGUAUGCAGUCUUAAUCCAAUAUUCUCUUUGUGUGAAAGUGGCACACCUGAAAUAAUUUCAUUAUAUUUCUAAAUUCUCUAAUGUGGAUAAAGUCAAUACAACCAUGUCAAGUCCAUUCAAAGUUCACACUAAAAUUCUAGACUUAGCUUCUAAGACUCAAAUGACCUGCAACUUCAUCAUUCAUGGCAUAAAAGGAAAGAAAAUUUCUAGUCCACUGGACUACCAUUUUGCAGGGAAGGAAAAGUGUUUUGAAUGACAACUAAUUAGAUAAGUGAACAACAAACAAGAGGUUUUCCCUUAAAAAUAAAAUAAAAAAAAUUUACCCUAAAUUUUUUUUUUUCUUAGUUUUGCAACGCAAAUUGUUUUUUUCAAUUUUUCUCCCUCAAAUCCCAAAUGCUAGCUCUGCCCCUGGUUGCAAGAAGCCUUGGAUGAUUGUGUUAUAUGUGAUAUGGUAAGGUGAACAACCAUUUUCCUCUAUUUUCUCAAAUAGCUCCCUUGCUUCAUUUAGUAGUUCCUCUUUGCAAAGCCCUUUGAUCAUUAGUGAUUCAUUGUAGUGUUAGUGUAAGUCCAAAACUGUGUCGGAUCAACAAUGGCAGACUGAUAUUUUGGCAUCAAAUUGGUCACAUUUUGUUGAUUCUAAAGAGAGGUGCAGGUAUGCCAGAAGCUUAUUCUGAGAAACAAUUUCAGUUGAGUCGUAAAGGUUUCAAAAGUUAUAAUCAUGCAAAAAUCCUUCAUGUUCAUGUAGUGUCUGGAUGGUUUGGAAUCAAAUUGCUAUAACUCAAUCGGUCGCCUCUUCCUCAAUUUGUGAGGACUCCCCAUGUAGCAGGAUAUCUUGUGCUUGCCAACCCUUCUAUAUUUAAAAUACCAUUUCAGACUCCUGGGUACAACAAUUCAAAUUUGCAGCCUGAAUCCAGCUGUCUUUCUUUUGCUCCUCCAGAGUUGGCAGCUAUCGUUUGGUAGAUACCAGGCUGACGAACAGGCUUGGGUGGAUACUAUAAAAUCUAUAGGAAGUGGAGGAACUGUUAGAAUUAGUACCAUGGACUGGCUGAAAGGAAGAAGUUAUAUGUGGGACUUAUUGAUGUCAAGAAACUGUCAAAGGAUGCAUCCAUGCAUGCUGCACAGAUUGAGUGCCUCCCACUUCGGGUUGUUGUCCAAGUUCUCUUUUGUUAGCAAGUUAGAGCAUCUGCUAGUGUUUCGUCCCUUGGGCAAUUGGCUAAGAAGAACAGUAAAAAGAGCCAAAGUAGCAUGUAGUUGCUGUCAUCCCGAUCCAGGCGAAUAUUCAAUAAACUGCGGGUUGUGGGUAAAGGACAUGGAGUCAACCAAAGCUCCAAGACAUCCGGGAGUCCUCAGAGCCCUGACUUCAUUGGUUCCCGGAAACACCACAUCCUCAGCUUCAGCUUCAAGACACAGGAGGCAUUCCAUCUCCUAGAAUGGUAUUUGGGGAUUCAUUUAGAUCCAAGUGAAGAAGAUUCAAAAAAGUGUAACAAAAGUGGUAGGUUUUUAUCAUAUAGCUUAUGAUUGGGUUUUAACUUUUUAGCUGCAAAAUAUUCUGAAUAUGGUGUACUGCAGGGAAAAAAAUAAAUAAAUAAAAGGUAAUGAGCCUUUCCAACCUUUUGGGUUUGUUCUCUCCCUAACAUCCUUUGGCUCCAAACUGUAAGAUUUACCUAUCCUAUAAAAGUCCACGUAGGUCACUGGAGUAGGGCUCUUUAUGCUUUAUUGAUGCUUGAUGCUUUCCUUGCACAGGAUUUUGAUUACUUGAGCCUCUGGGCAGAACUUUUAGGUGAAGUACAUAUGUUGUACCUUCAGUUCCCCAUUGAAAAUAAACCACCAUAUCUUAAUCAAA